AUUGAGAACAAAUCUAACAGGGGCUCCUGCCCCUCGGGGCGUCAUUUACUGUUUUUAAAAAUUAGAGUGUUUAAAGCAGGCUUUAGGCUUGAAUACAUUAACAUGGAAUAAUGAGAUAGGACCAAGUUCUAUUUUGUUGGUUGCGCGAUUCGGUAAUGAUUAAUAGGGACAGUUGGGGGUAUUCAUAUUUAAUUGUCAGAGGUGAAAUUCUUAGAUUUAUUAAAGAUGAACUACUGCGAAAGCAUUUACCAAGGAUGUUUUCAUUAAUCAAGAACGAAAGUCAGGGGAUCGAAAAGGAUUAUAUACCCUCGGAGUCUUGACCAUAAACUAUGCCGACUCAGGAUUGGCACCCUUUUUUAACAGGGUGUCAGCACUGAAUGAAAAAUCAAAGUCUUUGGGUUCCGGGGGGAGUAUGGUCGCAAGGCUGAAACUUAAAGGAAUUGACGGAAGGGCACCACCGGGAGUGGAGCCUGCGGCUUAAUUUGACUCAACACGGGGAAACUUACCAGGUCCAGACAUGGUGAGGAUUGACAGAUUGAAAGGUCUUUCUUGAUUCUAGGGGUGGUGGGGCAUGGCCGUUCUUAGUUGGGGGAGUGAUUUGUCUGGUUAAUUCCGAUAACGAACGAGACCUCCGCCUACUAGUCUAGAUGUUUCCUCUGCGGACGGUACCGUCUUCCUCGAGGGACUAUGGUCGUUUAGGCCAUGGAAGUUGGAGGCAAUAUCAGGUUUGUGAUGCCCUUAAUGUCCUGGGCCGCACGCGCGCUACCCUGGCUGGUGCAACAA
rnacentral:rRNA from 1 species